UUGCUAUCUAACUGGGAGUCUCCUUAGUGAAAACCAUCCGAAGCUCAUCAAAGGGGGUGCACCGUUCCUGGAGGUACUGCAAUACCAGGUCGAUGCGUGGAGUGGACGGAGCAAGCCCCUAUUCCAUCUCCCUAUUCCAAAAAUCUAUUUAAUAUAUGGUCUACAUUUUGAAAAUCCAUUUACUGUUUUGCACCAGCUCUGUGUCUUAUGAACUCUGUUCUAAAAACUCAACAACCUUGUUCCAAAAAAAAUGCUUGUAGACUAUUGAGAAACUCUAAUAGGUUGUUUCCUGAUUUAAAUAGUACAAGAGUGCAGUACCAUGAGGGACAAAAAUGCUGACAGCACCUGGUAUUCCCAGGCAGUCUCCCAUCCAAGGACUAACCAGGCCUGACUUUGCUUAGCUUCCGAGACCGGGCGUAUUAUAUUGUAAUGUAUUUAUGAUGCACGUAAACACUUCACUGUACCGUUUACACCCUGUGCACGUGAUGAAUAAAUGUUGAUGUGAUGAUCAACUCCCCAUUCAUAUCAGCUGUCAUAGUCAAUAUACAGUGGGGCAAAAAGUAUUUAGUCAGCCACCAAUUGGGCAAGUUCUCCCACUUAAAAAUACGAGAGAGGCCUGUAAUUUUCAUCACAGGUACACUUCAACUAUGACAGACAAAAUGAGAGAAAAAAAUCCAGAAAAUCACAUUGUAGGAUUUUUAAUGAAUUUAUUAGCAAAUUAUGGUGGAAAAUAAGUGGGAGAACUUGCACAAUUGGUGGCUGACUAAAUACUUUUUUGCCCCACUGUGUUGUCUGCAGUUUUCGGGUUUGCUUUGUUUCAAGUGUAUUAGUCUAUAAAUAAAUCUUUGCCAAAAUUCA